rnacentral:rRNA from 1 species
CAGUCGCCGCGGUAAUACAGAGGGUGCAAGCGUUAAUCGGAAUUACUGGGCGUAAAGCGCGCGUAGGUGGUUUGUUAAGUUGGAUGUGAAAUCCCCGGGCUCAACCUGGGAACUGCAUCCAAAACUGGCAAGCUAGAGUAUGGUAGAGGGUGGUGGAAUUUCCUGUGUAGCGGUGAAAUGCGUAGAUAUAGGAAGGAACACCAGUGGCGAAGGCGACCACCUGGACUGAUACUGACACUGAGGUGCGAAAGCGUGGGGAGCAAACAGGAUUAGAUACCCCGGUAGUCCCUGUCUCUUAUCC